rnacentral:lncRNA from 1 species
UUGUGUUUUGUAUAUUAUUAAGCAUCUAUUUUAGUCAUUUUAAGUGUUUAAAUAUUGCAUUUAGACGUCAUUAGAAAUUGUAUAUGUACAUUUUUUUUUAUACAUAUGGGCUUGGAGUACACAAUCAGAAGUUCUGGCCCAAAAAUGAGGAAAAAUCUGCACUAUUGUACAUGUAGGGGCCAAAAACAAAAAUAUGCAAAAGAACAUGGACCAAUUUUUCAAAACACACCAAAAGAUGGAUCUUCAGCUGCCGUCGAUCGAACUGAGAAGACCCAACUACUCGAUUAAUCAUGCUCGAACCGCAUCACUCGAUCCAGCCCGAUAUAGACGAAACAAUCGCUUACUAAAGUCGUUAUGCUCGAUUCAAUCCUCUUGGACUUAGCCUCACUCUGUGCGCCACAAUCAGAUGAUGCACAUGUGAUGGCGGCGAGAAGAGAAGACGUAGACCUAGCAGUGCUCUGGUCCGGCGGAGAUGCGUCCACGACGGUGGGACAGAGACACAUGCGAGGCGAGACGGCAGACACGGCAGCGCUCUGGUGCGGCGGAUAUACGUUCACGACGGUGGGACAUAGACACAUGCGAGACGAGACGACAAACCGGCCAAGCUAAAUCGAUUUAAAAUAUAAUCUAAUGUGAUAAAAUUAUAAAAAAUUAUAUUUUAAAGUAAUAUAUAAAUAGUUUUAAUAAUGUUUGAUAAAAUAAUUAAGAGAAAAUUUGGAGAAAUGCACUCAAAUAAGAUUAUAAUUUGAAAACUACACCCUUAUUUAAAUUUUUGGAAAAAUACACUUAUAUAUAUAUAUAUUUACCUAAUUGCCCAUUCUUAAUAUUUCUAAUAUAUUGCUUAAAAUUUGUUUUUUUUAAAUCGUAAUUUCUAAUAUAUUGUUUAAAAAUUGUUUAAAAAAAAUCAUACAGAAUCUAUCUAAUAUCUUUUUAAUAUAUCUACAUAAUAUCUAUUUUAAUUAUUUUGAAAAGAAAAAAGAAAUCAAGACGCGUAUCGUCUUCUUCUCCUCGCCAUUUCUGAAACUUUUCUCAUUUUUCUCUUAGUUUCACAGAUUCUUCCUCUUAGAGGUUUGUAGAUUCAUGAAUCAUAUUUCAGUUUCUAAUUCUGAUUCUAUUUUAUUGUGACAAUAAAUCUGUUUUAUUUUUCUUUAAGGAAAAUCAUGUUGCAUUUGUCUGGAGUUUUAGGAGACUGGAAGAUGAAUAAAGAAUCAUGGAGAUUCAAGGUGAAUACAAGAGCAGGAGGUAAAUUAUUUACCAUUAAAGAAGGAUUGAAGUUUGAUGAGAUGGUUGAGAUGGUUCAUGAAGAUUUUGGUAUAAAUAGGUUGGGUAAUGAGUGUUGUUCAAAAAAAAAAAGUUGGGUAAUGAAUUAGAACUUAACUACGCACUACCAGAAUCAAUGCUUUGAGAUAUGCCUAAGGAUACACCUCAUGUUUUUGUGAACAGUGAUAGGCAAUUGGUUUAAUGUGUAAAUUUACGCCUCUGCGUCUUUGCAUCUCGGUGAAGAAUGGAAACCUAGGGAACCAUGAUCAAGGUUUCAGCCGUGAAGAUACUGCCGUUGAUGGAAAAGGGCAUGGAAAUAAGAAUAAGAAUGUUGAUAGACAGGAGAGUAAUCAACAACCAGAAGUGGAAGUUUCUAAUUUUCAUGAUGCAAAGGUCAUUGAAAAGGGUCAAUGGUUCAAAAAUAAAUCAGAGCUGUCUUGGAGUAUAAAAAUGCUUUCGAUUGAACGCAAAUUCAGAAUUGUUGUCAGCAAGUCAGACAAGAAGUUGUUAGUUGUCAAAUGUGCAGAUACAAGCUGCAACGGUAUGGUUAGAGCUGCCAAGACUAAUCCGACAAGCGAGUUUUCUGGGUAACAAAGUACAUCGACAAGCAUACAUGUUUUUCUAGAAACACUGGUGGACCGAGAGCUUCUUCCAAAGUUAUAAGUAAGCUUCUUUUGCAAAACUUUAGAAAUUCAUAUCUAAAUAUGAAACCAGAGUUGAUUUCCAGUACUAUGAAAAAGAGAUAUGGUCUUGAUACAAAAUAUUGGAAGAUAUGGAAAGCUAGGGAAGAUGCUCGGACAGAGGUAUUAGGCUCUCCAGAAAGUAGCUAUGCUCAGCUUCCAAUAUACAUGACUUGACUUGUUUAUAUAAGUUGAAGAAAAUAAAAUAAAGGGAAAUCUGUAUAAACUUCAUGAUAAAGUAAAAACAAAUCAUAAUUCACAUAUUCAUCUUUGUUAUUAUAAAAUUUAAAUGAUAAAAUAAUAUAUUUAUCUCAACACAUAUAUUUAUCUUAAACAAAAUAAUUUUAAUGUUAUUAUUUUUAUUAAUUCCGAAUUUAUAUAUUAAUUUCGAAUUAAUAUCUUAAUUAUUGAAAUAUCUUGGGUAAAAAAGUCAAUUCAUAAUUAAAGAAGUGUAUUUUUCAAAAGUAAAAUAGAAAAUGCAAUUAUCAAAUUUCAAAUCCUAAAUAGGGUAUUUUGCAAAUUAUCCCAAUAAUUAAUAUAUAUUAUUCAACAACAAUUGAUGUUUUAUAAUAUAUGUUUGUUUCAGUUAUAUUAGAUUUCAAUUUAUAAUGAUACUUUUCUUUAAUUUCUGGUGUUUUACUAAUUAUGUUCUGCAAAUUACUUAGCAUUUGUUGAAAUUUUUUUCAUAACAAAAUUAAUUGUUGGAAAUCUUAGCGAAGGAAGGAAGAGAUCACAUCAUUCUUCGUCUUGGCCUUAGAUCUACGAAUGAAAAAAAGAGAAGAAACAGAUCUGAAGCUUAUAGCUUCGUACGAAUCAGAUCUGGAACAAAAAAGAUUGAUGCUACCACCAAAGGACAAGCGAUGACAGAUUCAAGAUAAAAGAGAUGAACGAUAUAGAGAAAAAAAAACUAGGGUUCCUUACCUCAUCAGUGACCAGAUCUAGAAGGAAAACAAGACCUAUGUAGACAAUGGAAAAGAUCAGUUAGGAAUCUCCGAUGGCUUGGCUCCGGUGUGCAACAAACAGAGAACAGCGAGGAGAGAGGGAUAGAGAUGCAUGAGAGAGAGAGAACAGAGUGAGGUUGGCCAUGAGGUUGGCCAUGAGAGAACGAGAGAUAUGAAAAAGAAAAAAAAGAGAAACCUUGACGGUCAAAGUUUUCAGAUCUCUCUGGAACUCUGCAUGGUUUCGUU